AUGACAACAGUGAAUCUGAACAAUCUUGGGUACACUGACGAACCGUUCGUCCUAGCCAAUGAUGUGGCACAGGUUAUCUAUGUGAAGGACAUGUCUACCAGACCGAGAAAGAGAAAAGAUAAGGAAGCGAAUACAUCAUACGACGAGCCAAAGCGCCACAUAGUUCUUUCAGGAAAAAGGGACAUUGUGGGAGUAGAGGGCAAGACAGACAUGUCUGAAGAUUAUGAAAAGUUUCAUGAAAUUCCUCCCUUCAAAGUCAAGGCUGACCCAAGCAUCCUGGUAAACGAUGAAGAUUAUCCAUCGUUACGGCGCAAUAAGCAAAUGACACAAGCGAAGAAAAAGUGA
rnacentral:rRNA from 1 species